AUUGAACGCUGGCGGCAGGCCUAACACAUGCAAGUCGAGCGGUAGCAGGGGAAGCUUGCUUCCCGCUGACGAGCGGCGGACGGGUGAGUAAUGUCUGGGAAACUGCCCGAUGGAGGGGGAUAACUACUGGAAACGGUAGCUAAUACCGCAUAACGUCGCAAGACCAAAGUGGGGGACCUUCGGGCCUCACACCAUCGGAUGUGCCCAGAUGGGAUUAGCUUGUAGGCGGGGUAACGGCCCACCUAGGCGACGAUCCCUAGCUGGUCUGAGAGGAUGACCAGCCACACUGGAACUGAGACACGGUCCAGACUCCUACGGGAGGCAGCAGUGGGGAAUAUUGCACAAUGGGCGCAAGCCUGAUGCAGCCAUGCCGCGUGUAUGAAGAAGGCCUUCGGGUUGUAAAGUACUUUCAGCGGGGAGGAAGGUGCUGAGGUUAAUAACCUCAGCAAUUGACGUUACCCGCAGAAGAAGCACCGGCUAACUCCGUGCCAGCAGCCGCAGUAAAAC
rnacentral:rRNA from 1 species